UCCCACGCUGCGACUCAGUGAGGCCGCGGGGGCCUUCCGCGGCCGGAGAAGCCGGGCGCUGCAGCUUGUGUGUACUUGGGGUAGCAAUGCGAGUCCCCUCCGGAGUAGAGUACUGGGAGACUCCCGGGAGCGGCUCAGGGAAAUGCUGAGGUUCUCCACAAACCCAUCCUUUCCGCAAACUUAUUUUGCGCAGCGCUGAGAACGCAAAAAUGCGAGGGCGGAUCUCUGGCCGGCGAGGCUGAUGGGGAGAGGAUAGUGUUAUACUUGAGUAUCACACACAGACUUGGGGCAGUAGAGGAAAAGGCGAAUCUGACACUUCCUGGGUGUCACGGUUUUUCCACAGGCUGAGAGAGGUGGGCCCCACAGCCAAUCCAGAGAUGAGAAGAUUCACCAGAGAAAGAGUGGAGAGCAGAACAGGCAGAUCUACUACUGAAGGACACUGCUGAGGGGAGCAGUGGGGGAAACAGGAGAGGUCUGCUGUGCCACAUGACAGGACUUCAAAAUUCCACACAGAAAAUUCUUCAAAUGGAAAGAUGUCAAAAAGACGGAUUUCCAAAGCCAACUGCCUCCUGUACCAUAUGGAUCUCUUCAAGCAGAGCUGCAUCUUUCAAUUUCAGCUGCAUGAGAGAAGGAAGGGAAGGACACACAUAAUGUCUGAUAUACAUUCAUGGGGCCACAGCUAAACAACAUAGUUUCUAUGGAUGGAAUUCAGUCUUCUUAUAUGCUCUACUUGUUAACUCCAUUAAAAGACCUUGGAAUAUGUGCUGGUUACAAGGACAUGUUCACUUUAAUGAAAAUUCACCAAACGGUAUGAACACUCACAAAUGGGAGAACCACUCACUUCCCUCUAAUCUUUGUGCUUUUUUUUGUGUGUGAAAUAAUUUUAAUGAUGUUUAUUUUUAAAAGAGUUCACCCAACAUAUUUUCACUCAACAUAUCCUGACUAGUAUAUAAUAGUCCCACUGGCAAAUGACAGAAAGGGAUUAAAUACAUGAGAAUCAAAGACCUUAGUCUGAAUUUAAUUUUAGAGUCUAGAUGUGUAGUAGAGACAUCUACUCAAUACCCACAAAAUCUUCAUUAUUUUUUCAGGGCAACAAGCCACAUUUUCUGCUUUUGAAGCUAGGGGUAAUCUUAUGACCAAUUGUGGCCAAUAAAAUAUAAGCUAAAGUAAUUGCUCUUUAAAGAGAGGUGAAGUAGCUAGCACAGCCCCUUUGUUCUUUAUUGUGAUAAAACAUUGAUAUGGUGGUUACAACCCCACUGCCUUGCAACUAGAAGGGGUAGGAACUGUAUGCUAUGAGUGGUAGAGCAGAAAAGCAGAAAGGUUGGAUCUUUGAUGACAUUAAGGAGCUGUGUUAGCUACUAUGAAAUUUACAUUAGCUGAGUAAAAUAAAACUAUUAAUUUGUUUAAGGCACUGUAUUUCGAGACAAGUAGGCAAGCCAAAUCUUGCCUUCUGCCUAAGUUUUUUUUUUUUAAGUAAAGAUGUUUUGAAAUACAGCUAUACUCAUUUAUUUUUUAUGACUGUUUUUACACUACAAGAGCAGAGUAUAAUAACAAUAAAGACCAUUUGGCCCACAAAGCCUAAAAUAGUUCCCACUCUUGCCUCUAUAGAAAAAAUUUGUUGACCCUUAUACUAGAUCUUCGUUUUACACAUGAGGAAAAUGAGGCCCAGAGAGGUUAAUAAAGUAAAUUAAUGGUCAAACUAGGACUAUAAUUUAGGUUGAUUGACUCCCAGGUCAUCUGUCUUUUCAUUAAACUAUAUCCUCUGAAGAGGUGUAAAGAAGAUCCCCCAAGGUAAUAUGUAGAUUAUCAUUCCCAACCCAGCAGCCCUAUGAUAAUGACAAAGGUAGUAAAAGCCUUGAGAAAAAUAAUUCACAUCUUAAAAUGCUACAAAGUCCAGAAUUUAGUCAGCACCUUCCUCCCAAGUUUCCAACCUCAAUACAGUACAAAGAGCAGAGGCAUCUGCAUCAUACCUUCAGCGUGUACUUGUAGGCCUGCUCAGCUUCCAGUUGCCGUCCAGCCUGAAAAAAAAAGAAAAGCAGCUGGAGAUGAUACUACACCAUCAACUGUCUGUCUCUCUCUCUUUCUCCAUCCUUAGCUAGUCAUUUGUUCCUCUCCACAUAAUAGCAAAUAUUUAUAAAUUGUUAAUGUUGCAGUUUACAUUGUUUUGUUUUCUUCACCAUUAUACUUCACAAGUUUGCAUAUAACAUCAUACUAGGGAAAGCUUAUACAUCAAUGUAAGAACGACAAAAUGUUCAGACUACAAGGAAACUUAGGGAUUAUCUAAUUCAAUUUCCUGAUGUGUGUUAGUACAUGGUAAAUUUUGUUGUGUGUGUGUGUGUUUUUUUUUAAGAGAAAGAGUUUGUUAGGGAGAAAAGGAACAGAAAUUGGUAAAUUUCUUAUUAAUUCACAAAUUUUGCUUUAUCCAAAAGACUUCCCCUAAUAUCUACAUCUUGAAGUUUUUCCAACUGAAGUUUAGUAAAUUCCAGGGGCAUUUUCUAGCACAUUGUCCUUUUCUCUUUGACCCUGAAUUAAUUAUAGCAUCUUUUUAAGUUUCUAACUAUAUGUGAGCCUUUUGGUCUAUGUUUAGUUGUUGCUUUAUGAUUUUACUGCACUGUAAUUCAUAUAUAUUUGUUGAGUCUCUUUGUGGUCUGUGUGUUCAACUUUUAUGAUUAACUCAAUUGUGCUUGGAAAAUAUAUGUAUUCUCUAAUUGUUGAAGGUAGAGUAUCAUUUUGAUGUUUGAGCUUAACUUUCCCGUUUUAUUAAAAUUUUACAUGCCCUAAUUUUUUUCUUAUUUAAUCUAUCAGUUUUUGAGAAAAGUAUGUUUAAAUCUUCCAUUUUGACCUUUUACUUUAAAGAUGAAGAAACUGAGGCCUAAAUAUUAUAGUUUGUGACUUUCCCAAAGUCCCACAGCUAGCUGUGGCAGAGCUAGAAUAAGCACUGAGAUAUUUCUCAUAAUGCUAUUCAGGAUAUUUACUCCAAAGAGAAAAUCCACUAAUUUUCAUUUUGCUCAAUUUUCUUAUAAUCACUAUACUCCCUUGUCAGUUUGGUUUCAUAUUGCUCAAUGGAAAACUGAAGUCCAUUUGUAUUAUUGCCAAUGCAAUUUUAGGCUAGUAUGCAAAUUAAGCAAAUGUGAGAAAUAUUUUCUAUAUGUAAAACAUCCAAAAUACUCAUCACCACCUAAUUGCCCAUCUAUUUGAAGGAUAAGCAUCCUCAGCCAUAGUUCAAUAGGAAGAAAUGAUUCAGGAAGACUAGCAGAGCAAUUCGUUUGCUGGUCCAUGAAACUUAUUUACAUUCUGCUAAAAUAAUGUUCCCAUUUUAAAAAUUUAUUUUCUUAAAAAAAUUAUAAUAAAGUGAAAAAAUCAAAAUCAACAAGCAACUAUAAACCAGAGACAUUCUGCAGCAGGGGAGAAGAGUAGGGUCAAACCAGGGGUGGGACCAGCACAAGAGACUAUGGUGAUAGUACAUGGGUGAAUUGGUGGUGGGAAUUUCACAGGGACUAUACCGGAAUUGAGAACGCACACAUUGUAAAAAUGAAGA